rnacentral:tRNA from 1 species
GAGGGUAUAGCUCAGUGUUACAGAGUGUUUGCCUAGCAUGCAUGAAGUCCUGUGUUCAAUCCGCAGUACUGCCA